rnacentral:rRNA from 1 species
GACGAACGCUGGCGGCGUGCUUAACACAUGCAAGUCGAACGGAAAGGCCCUGCUUUUGUGGGGUGCUCGAGUGGCGAACGGGUGAGUAACACGUGAGUAACCUGCCCUUGACUUUGGGAUAACUUCAGGAAACUGGGGCUAAUACCGGAUAGGAGCUCCUGCUGCAUGGUGGGGGUUGGAAAGUUUCGGCGGUUGGGGAUGGACUCGCGGCUUAUCAGCUUGUUGGUGGGGUAGUGGCUUACCAAGGCUUUGACGGGUAGCCGGCCUGAGAGGGUGACCGGCCACAUUGGGACUGAGAUACGGCCCAGACGCCUACGGGAGGCAGCAGUGGGGAAUAUUGCACAAUGGGCGGAGGCCGGAGGCAGCAACGCCGCGUGCGGGAUGACGGCCUUCGGGUGGGAAACCGCUUUCGCCUGUGACGAAGCGUGAGGGACGGUAAUGGGUAAAGAAGCACCGGCUAACUACGG